AGUGAACGCUGGCGGUAGGCCUAACACAUGCAAGUCGAACGGCAGCACAGUAAGAGCUUGCUCUUACGGGUGGCGAGUGGCGGACGGGUGAGGAAUACAUCGGAAUCUACUUUUUCGUGGGGGAUAACGUAGGGAAACUUACGCUAAUACCGCAUACGACCUACGGGUGAAAGCAGGGGAUCUUCGGACCUUGCGCGAUUGAAUGAGCCGAUGUCGGAUUAGCUAGUUGGCGGGGUAAAGGCCCACCAAGGCGACGAUCCGUAGCUGGUCUGAGAGGAUGAUCAGCCACACUGGAACUGAGACACGGUCCAGACUCCUACGGGAGGCAGCAGUGGGGAAUAUUGGACAAUGGGCGCAAGCCUGAUCCAGCCAUACCGCGUGGGUGAAGAAGGCCUUCGGGUUGUAAAGCCCUUUUGUUGGGAAAAGAAAAGCAGCAGGUUAAUACCCCGCUGUUCUGACGGUACCCAAAGAAUAAGCACCGGCUAACUUCGUG
rnacentral:rRNA from 1 species